UGUUCAUAGCACGUUGAACACAACGGUUCUCGUACGUUUAGUGCUGUGAAGCAACGUCGAGUCUGGUCAGUACCUAAAUGGGUGACCGCUCGGGAAUACCAGGUACUGUAU